rnacentral:pre_miRNA from 2 species
CUAAUACUUCCUCCGUUCUAAAAUUGUUAUUUUAAUUUUUUUCUAAAUAUAAAUAUAUCUAGUCAUGUUUUAAUAUUUAGGUACAUUCAUUUUCAGACAAACCCAAGACAAAAAUUUUUGGAACGGAGGGAGUAUAAG